AGUGUUGGGGAAGGAUUCAUUUCGAUGGUAGACUGCAGCCAAGGCAGCACUGGUCCACAGCUGCCCUGUCAGUCAGAUGCAGACCCAAAGACAUUCAAGCAGCAUUUUGAGAGCAAGCAUCCCAUGUCUCCAAUGGUCCCAGUACUGGUUGAUGUUCAGGCCUAAGUAACCACACACACAAAUGCACCUACAGCUGCGACACACGAUGACCACGAUUUGAAUGCUGCCACUGAGACGGAAUGACUUCGAGAGACGCUGAGACCCCGAGUAUGACUGGACAUGCAGUGUUGUAAAGUACAUAAGUAAAAAUACUUUAAAGUACUACUUAAG